rnacentral:rRNA from 1 species
UACGUAGGGUGCGAGCGUUAAUCGGAAUUACUGGGCGUAAAGCGUGCGCAGGCGGUUUUGGAAGUCAGAUGUGAAAUCCCCGGGCUUGACCUGGGAACUGCGUUUGAAACUACAAGGCUAGAGUGUGGCAGAGGGGGGUGGAAUUCCACGUGUAGCAGUGAAAUGCGUAGAGAUGUGGAGGAACACCGAUGGCGAAGGCAGCCCCCUGGGUUAACACUGACGCUCAGGCACGAAAGCGUGGGGAGCAAACAGG